rnacentral:rRNA from 1 species
GACGAACGCUGGCGGCGUGCCUGAUACAUGCAAGUAGAACGCUGAAGGAGGAGCUUGCUUCUCUGGAUGAGUUGCGAACGGGUGAGUAACGCGUAGGUAACCUGCCUGGUAGCGGGGGAUAACUAUUGGAAACGAUAGCUAAUACCGCAUAAUAGUAGAUGUUGCAUGACAUUUGCUUAAAAGGUGCAAUUGCAUCACUACCAGAUGGACCUGCGUUGUAUUAGCUAGUUGGUGAGGUAACGGCUCACCAAGGCAACGAUACAUAGCCGACCUGAGAGGGUGAUCGGCCACACUGGGACUGAGACACGGCCCAGACUCCUACGGGAGGCAGCAGUAGGGAAUCUUCGGCAAUGGACGGAAGUCUGACCGAGCAACGCCGCGUGAGUGAAGAAGGUUUUCGGAUCGUAAAGCUCUGUUGUAAGAGAAGAACGAGUGUGAGAGUGGAAAGUUCACACUGUGACGGUAUCUUACCAGAAAGGGACGGCUAACUACGU